AUUGAACGCUGGCGGCAGGCCUAACACAUGCAAGUCGAACGGUAGCACAGAGAGCCUGCUCUCGGGUGACGAGUGGCGGACGGGUGAGUAAUGUCUGGGAAACUGCCUGAUGGAGGGGGAUAACUACUGGAAACGGUAGCUAAUACCGCAUAACGUCGCAAGACCAAAGAGGGGGACCUUCGGGCCUCUUGCCAUCAGAUGUGCCCAGAUGGUGAUUAGCUAGUAGGAGGGGUAACGGCUCACCUAGGCGACGAUCCCUAGCUGGUCUGAGAGGAUGACCAUCCACACUGGAACUGAGACACGCGCCAGACUCCUACGGGAGGCAGCAGUGGGGAAUAUUGCACAAUGGGCGCAAGCCUGCUGCAGCCAUGCCGCGUGUAUGAAGAAGGCCUUCGGGUUGUAAAGUACUUUCAGCGGGGAGGAAGGCGAUAAGGUUAAUAACCUUGUCGAUUGACGUUACCCGCAGAAGAAGCACCGGCUAACUCCGUGCCAGCCGCCGCAGUAAGAC
rnacentral:rRNA from 1 species